GGAAGAAGAAAGGUAAUUAAGCUGAUCAGAUCAAAUCACCAGCCUUGCUCUGUUCUGAACCAAGUUUUGUUUAUGUUUUGAUAAUAGUCAGAUUGUGAGCUUAGCUUGAGAGGAGUGUUCAGCCAAGAUCAAGCCUUCUAGUUGUUUUGGAUCGUUUCAGCUCAUUCGAGAUCAGUUUCAGGCCUUCUUAAAUUCGGUUUCAAGACUUGUAUCAAGGUAACCGUUAGGCGGGAGACUUACUCUUUUGGACUUAAAGGAACGGCCUAACCAGUGGUAGUUUUUGUUGUCCUUGCAACGAAUCUUUUGUUGUAUAUUUACUGUAAAACGUUGUUGGGCGAUAUGCCGUAGGUUAA